rnacentral:rRNA from 2 species
ACGCUGGCGGCGUGCCUAAUACAUGCAAGUCGAACGAACUCUGGUAUUGAUUGGUGCUUGCAUCAUGAUUUACAUUUGAGUGAGUGGCGAACUGGUGAGUAACACGUGGGAAACCUGCCCAGAAGCGGGGGAUAACACCUGGAAACAGAUGCUAAUACCGCAUAACAACUUGGACCGCAUGGUCCGAGUUUGAAAGAUGGCUUCGGCUAUCACUUUUGGAUGGUCCCGCGGCGUAUUAGCUAGAUGGUGAGGUAACGGCUCACCAUGGCAAUGAUACGUAGCCGACCUGAGAGGGUAAUCGGCCACAUUGGGACUGAGACACGGCCCAAACUCCUACGGGAGGCAGCAGUAGGGAAUCUUCCACAAUGGACGAAAGUCUGAUGGAGCAACGCCGCGUGAGUGAAGAAGGGUUUCGGCUCGUAAAACUCUGUUGUUAAAGAAGAACAUAUCUGAGAGUAACUGUUCAGGUAUUGACGGUAUUUAACCAGAAAGCCACGGCUAACUACGUGCCAGCAGCCGCGGUAAUACGUAGGUGGCAAGCGUUGUCCGGAUUUAUUGGGCGUAAAGCGAGCGCAGGCGGUUUUUUAAGUCUGAUGUGAAAGCCUUCGGCUCAACCGAAGAAGUGCAUCGGAAACUGGGAAACUUGAGUGCAGAAGAGGACAGUGGAACU